GUGUAAGUAUAAACUAAUUCAGACUGUGAAACUGCGAAUGGCUCAUUAAAUUAGUUAUAGUUUGUUUGAUGGUAUCUACCACUCAGAUAACCAUAGUAAUUCUAGAGCUAAUACAUGCAACAAACCCCGACUUCUGGAAGGGAUGCAUUUAUUAGAUAAAAGGUCGACGCGGGCUCUUCCUGUUGCUUUGAUGAUUCAUGAUAACUGUUAACCCUCGGCAAGUGUAAUCGAAUCGUAUCAAGUAAUAAAACUGGUAAAACAAAG
rnacentral:ncRNA from 2 species